rnacentral:rRNA from 1 species
CCUGAGAAACCCAAAAGAUCGAAUGGAGAGAUUCAUCGUCAGCGAUCCCGUCUCCUGUGCGGCUCGCGAUUUCGUCACGGGGGUAGCUUCGGCGAUCCCGUGUGCGGGACGCGUCCGCGCGGUCUCGGGUGUCGUCGGCGUGCACUUCUCGCCUAGUAGGACGUCGCGACCCGUUGGGUGUCGGUCUACGGCCCGGGUGUGUCGCCUGCACCGUCGCUUCGGCGUCGCGGUGCAGACCCCCGGUAGCCCGACCGGCUGCCCGACGGUACUCGCACGGUAUCGAGCCGCAGCAAUUUGAACUGCGUCCGUCGCGCCGCAAGCCGUAUCAGUGUCAACCCGGACGCCACGGACCUAGAGCCGUCGCCGGGCCUGAUCGGCUGUUGGUCGGCGCUGCACUUGGACAGGCUCGCAAAUUGAAUUAUGAUACCGGUCGGCGACGCUACUGCUUUGGGUACUUUCAGGA